GAUGAACGCUGGCGGCGUGCCUAAUACAUGCAAGUCGAGCGAACAGACGAGGAGCUUGCUCCUCUGACGUUAGCGGCGGACGGGUGAGUAACACGUGGAUAACCUACCUAUAAGACUGGGAUAACUUCGGGAAACCGGAGCUAAUACCGGAUAAUAUAUUGAACCGCAUGGUUCAAUAGUGAAAGACGGUUUUGCUGUCACUUAUAGAUGGAUCCGCGCCGCAUUAGCUAGUUGGUAAGGUAACGGCUUACCAAGGCAACGAUGCGUAGCCGACCUGAGAGGGGGAAUCGCCAACCUGGAACUGGAAAACGUUCCAGGCCCCAGCGGGAGGGAGCGUAAGGGAAUCUUCCGCAGUGGGGGAAAGCCUGGAGGGGCAACCCCCGGGAGUGAAUAAAGGUUUUCGAUUCGUAAAACUAUUGUAUUGGGGAAAAACAAAUUGUAACGUAACUUUGCCCGUUUGACCGGACCCUAACCAGAAAGCACCGGAUAACUCCGU
rnacentral:rRNA from 1 species